UGAAACCGUUUAGGGGUAAACCUGAGAAACCCGAAAGGUCGAAGGGAGAAAUUCAUUCGCGUUUCGAAGUCGGCGCGGAACGGAGACCCCCAAUCGUGCGACGAAACUCUCGCGCUUCCGUUCUUCGGAACGGCUCUCGCGCGUGGAAAUUUCGCGCCCUCCGUUCUUCGCGAACCGACGGCGAACGCGUGCACUUUUCUCCUGGUAGGACGUCGCGAUCCGUCGAGUGGUAUCAUUUCGUAAACGCGGUCUACGACGAUUUGCGGUGGAGACCGUCCGUCGCGUCUUUAGUGCGCGCGGACGGACCCGCUCGUUCCGACCGACUCGCUCGACGGUAUAAUCUAAGGUCGGAGGUCGCUCGAAGUCUCCUCACCGAGACGGGAAGCGUUCGACUCGUCGCAAGCGCGUCACGUGUUUCGGCACGCGGACCCGGUGCCGCGUCCGAUCUCUGGCGACUGUUGGCGACGACGUUCUCGAACAGACCUCUUUUUCUCUUUUUAACGAGGGGAAAAAAUACGAGACCGAUCGGCGACGCUAUAGCUUUGGGUAAUUUCAGGACCCGUCUUGAAACACGGACCAAGGAGUCUAGCAUGUACGCGAGUCAUUGGGAAUCUCUAAACCUAAAGGCGUAAUGAAAGUGAAAGUCUUCCUCGCGAAGACGGAGGGAAGACGGGCGGCGACGACGACGGCGACGUCGUCUCGUCGUCCUGCAUUCCCGGGGCGUCUCGUUCACAUCGCGUGAUGAGGCGCACCGAGAGCGUACACGCUGGGACCCGAAAGAUGGUGAACUAUGCCUGGUCAGGACGAA
rnacentral:rRNA from 1 species